UAGGGAAUCUUCCGCAAUGGACGCAAGUCUGACGGAGCAACGCCGCGUGAGUGAUGAAGGUUUUCGGAUCGUAAAACUCUGUUGCGAGGGAAGAAACCGUGCCAGCUAACUACUGGCACCUUGACGGUACCUCGCCAGAAAGCCACGGCUAACUACGUGCCAGCAGCCGCGGUAAUACGUAGGUGGCAAGCGUUGUCCGGAAUUAUUGGGCGUAAAGCGCGCGCAGGCGGUCCUUUAAGUCUGAUGUGAAAGCCCACGGCUCAACCGUGGAGGGUCAUUGGAAACUGGGGGACUUGAGUGCAGAAGAGGAAAGUGGAAUUCCAUGUGUAGCGGUGAAAUGCGUAGAGAUGUGGAGGAACACCAGUGGCGAAGGCGACUUUCUGGU
rnacentral:rRNA from 1 species